ACAGCAUAAUUAGAAUUACAACACACUCUAAUACCCGCCAAUCUCUAAAAAGUGCUUGAACGGACCUUGUUGACAGACUUUGCGGAGCAAGGCACUUUCCAGUUCGAAAUUUUUUUUUCCUUGUUGCCAUUGUUGAAAUGAUGUGUUCAUUUCUGCAGGUGCAGUUUCAGUCCUUGCCAAAAAAAAAAAAGGUAGGCGAUUGCUUAGCUGUGAAAACAGCUACUCUGUUUUCCUUAAACAUCUUCAAGGUCUUACACAACAAAUAAAUUCUGAAGUGGACAUGCCGAAAGAGAGGAGAUAGCCUGGCCUCUUAACACGGUCAAGAAAGUAACAAGUCAGAAGGCACUGUGCUCGUUGUUCCUUUUUCCUAUGCAUAUACCUCUUUGAGACGUAGCUGUAAAGAGGUAUACGGCAUGGGAAAAUGGGGCUGCAGAGGUAAUCUACUUGAUCACAGCCGACUUUCUUUCCGAAGAGGAGCACUGACAACUUGGGGAAUUUCAUGCGCUUGUUUGUUUCAUACCACUGACGGCAAAAGGAUUUUCAACUUCCCAGGAUGGCUAGCGUUAAUUUUGUUUUUUUACUGUGCCUCACUCUUUCCAAUUUAUGUAACAACUACUUUAUGAGGCUAUUAAAUUAUAUAAGCUUUGUUUCAGCAUAAUGUUUGUUUCAACAACUAUUGUUAACUUGGAGUGCAAUAAAAAAAAACAUUUGGCUAGAAUUGUCAUAAGUCAUUGAUGAGCUUCAAAAUUAAACAGCUGAAAACUGUCUAGUCUUGUUUUUAUUAAUUAUACCAGUAUACAUGCAAUGUAAUUUGACUAUUAUAAUGAAAUGUAAUUUGUCUUGUUUUUUAAAUAUACAGUAUGUACAGUCUCUUUAUAUAUGUUGUUUAGCUUACAUACUGUAAACUAUACUGCAAAUGGUCAUGUAAUAGUGUUUAAUAUCUGUCUGCUUGUACAUACUUUAGCUAUUAAAUGUUAAUGUAAAUUAUCUUA